AUAUCAAAAGCUCUUUCAGGCUGUGUGCCUGAAUGCCGUCCCUAAAUAAAAACGACAGCGGUAAAUUACUGUCAAAAAAUUUUGAAAUUUUGCUUGUAGAAAUGAAUUGAGAAUUUGACGUAAGGUUGCCGCUUUAUUUAGGGAUGCCGCGUCGGCGUUAACGUUGAGCAGUAAAAAACGCGCAGCUCGACGCUAUGCUUUAGGGACGGCAGUAAAGGUAACAUUUUUAUCUAUGUACAUACAUAUGUUGAGGUGGAGUGAAAAAAUGUCUUAUGGUGUAAACAAAUUUUAUAUUUUCCUGUACCAAUCGGAGGGAAGAUUUUGACAUUUGAAAUUCGAACAAACGCAAUUGCGUUGUUUGAAUUUUCGUGUUGGUAAUUUAAUUAUUAAAUACAUUCGCAAAAUGAAUAAAAUUUAAAGCAGCAACUUUGCUUUGCUAAUUUCAAUAUUAAUGAGAUUAUAAAAAUGCAUUAAUUUAAAGAUUUGAAAUUAAUUGAAAAUUUUAGGCAACGUGCCAGGCUAUAGGCAAUAUAGGCACUUCUAUAUUGAGUGUAAUAACUAAUGACAUUAACAAAUGAAUAAUUACAAAUUAAUAACAUAUUUGUUAUAUAUGUCAUGCAGCGGUUCUUAUAAAUUCGUUUAUAUAUUUAUAAGUUGUCAAAAAUGUACCUAGCUCGCAUACUGGUUAAAUUCUGACAUUCGGAUUCACCACGAAAAAUGUCGAAAUUUCACUUUCAUCGUCAGAAUUUUCACUUACAAUUCAAUUUGGCAUACAACUUUAAACAUAUUAAUUAGGGGUUUAUUUUCUAUUGAGAAAUUGAUUUCAGAGUUGGAUGUUCUUUUGCCUCCAUAAAGAGCUGAUGGAUAACUAUAUAGACCCAUAUGUAAAUAUACAUGCCUAUGUUUUUCGCGAAUAGGACUUUACCCAUCGGCGAAACAACGAUUUGAAUCAAUUGUAUGGUGUAUGACCUGCUUAAGUCGUUUGAAAAAGUAUUGGUUUAAUAAAUGUAAUAAUAAGGGAAAGCUUUUGGCGAAGGUAUAAAAGCUUGGACAGCUGUUUGUUGGCAUUCAGUGAAUUAUCCACAUCGAUAGCUAAGUAUAUUUCUAUUUCUAGUGUGCCGGUAGUUUUCCAUUGUGUUUCAGGAUAUCGUUGUAAUUUGCUUCUAAUUCAUUAAAAAAAUCAUAAUGUCGGUUCCUAAUGUGGUUCUAAAUAACGGAGAAAAGAUUCCCAUCCUUGGUCUAGGUACAUGGGGCAGUCCUAAAGGAGAAGUUGAGCAAGCUGUUAAAGAUGCUAUUGACGUUGGUUAUCGCCACAUCGAUUGUGCACAUGUGUAUCAAAAUGAAGAUGAAGUCGGAGCGGGCAUUGAAGCUAAAAUAACUGAAGGUGUUGUGAAACGUGAGGAAUUGUUUAUUACCAGCAAAUUAUGGAAUACUUUCCAUAGUCCAGAAUUAGUACGCGGAGCUUUAGAAACUACUUUAAAGAAUUUACGCUUGGAUUACCUCGACUUGUACUUGAUUCAUUGGCCAAUGGGCUAUAAAGAGGGCGGAGCAUUGUUUCCAAAUGAUGAUCUUGGCAAAGUGCAAUAUUCGGAUGUCGAUUAUGUAGACACAUGGAAGGCAAUGGAAAAACUUGUAGAAGCUGGUCUUGUUAAGUCCAUUGGUAUAUCUAAUUUCAACAAACGUCAAGUUGAACGUGUGCUCGAGGUUGCAACUAUUGCUCCCGUUACAAACCAAAUUGAAUGUCAUCCUUAUUUGACACAAGAAAAGCUUAUUGAAUUUUGUAAAUCAAAGAACAUUGCUAUAACUGCAUACAGUCCUUUAGGCUCACCCAACAGGCCAUGGGCGAAACCAGAAGAUCCCGUUUUGUUAGAGGACACUAAAAUUGUUGGUAUCGCUGAUAAGUAUGGCAAAACUCCGGCUCAAAUUCUCAUUCGCUAUCAACUGCAACGUGGAAACAUUGUAAUUCCAAAGUCUGUAAAUAAAAAUCGUAUUGCAUCUAACUUCGAUGUAUUCAAUUUUGAAUUGACCGCAGAUGAUAUUGCUACAAUUAAUAGCUUUAAUUGUAACGGGCGUUUCGUACCUCUGGAUAACGAUGCUGACCAUGAACUCUACCCGUUUAAUGAUGAAUUUUAAUUUCGUAAAAUUUAAAACAAGUGAAAAUUUAGUAAUUUGUACAAAAUGUACGUCUGUCUUCAUUACUAUGAUGUGUUAUUUCACUUAAAAUUCGUUUUGACUCUUAAAAAUAUUCAAUAUCUUAGCACCAUCGAUCACAUCCGUACCAUCCAUUUUCUGAUGAGUUCUAGUGUGUAAAACUUAAUCCAGUUAAAAUUUGGGUUAUGUAACUGUUAUCAUUCACACAUAUAUAAAUACAUAUGUAUAUAUAAAUGUAUUUAAAGUCACGGUAUAUUAAAUAAAUAAACACAUGAAUUUACCAACUUUGUACUUAAUUUCCAACAUUAGACUUUUUAAACACAAAACACAUACAUCUGGAAGUUACUAGUACAGAAAGUACUACAAACGUUAAACGUGUUGAGCUUGCCUAGAUUUAUUUGUAUGGCUUCUUUUCCUUUCCGAUUACCUUUUUUUAUAUUCGAUAUGUUUCACAUACAAAAAAAUCUAACAAUAAGUAUAAAUUAUAUUAUUUUUCAUAUAUAUGUAUUAGAAAAGUAUAGUGAAUACACGAACAUGAUGUUAUUGGUAUUAGUUUCAGAAUAAUAAAUUAUUACUGUUGUUCGUUUCAAUUAAAAGCACUGAUUUCGAAUGGUGCUAGAAAUUUAAAUUUUAGCGUAUAUUAAAUAAUAGCUCCACCAUAUCUAUGCACCAACCGAUCCCAGUUCUUUCAACUUGAAUUUUUUUGCACAGUAUUGUAAUACACCUGGUAUCCUUGCUAAUUUUCAUUUAUUAAAAGUGCAAAUUUGUUUAAUUCCCGGUAUUUGCCUUCCUGCGAGUGUGAUUGUACUAUGUCAACUGCUGGGAGAAGGUUUAAAGUCUGAGUUUAAAUGUGUAAAACCAGUUACAGAUGAGAUGCGGUCAACAAUGGCAUAUGUAGGAAAACGAAUCAAGUACGUUCAUCGCAUUUUAUGCAUAUUCAGUUACUCUAAGUCUUAACAAUUUGCAUCUUAACUAUUUAAUUUAUAAACACAUGCAAGUGGGUGCAUAUGUACAUGCAUGUGAAGUUAACCUCAUUAUAACAUAUUGCGUACUUACAUUUCCUUUACUACCUUUACUAUCUAUACAUAUGUAUGUAUAUAUAAACGUAUAUCCUUGAAUGCACAUGUAGUAUGUGUUAAAUGUAACUAAUACCUAGCUGUUACUUACGACUGUUCCACUUCUUUUAUGUGAUUUUUUCACUUCACCGUCAAUCGGCAGACAAAGUACAAAAAGAGUAGAUUUUGCUGAAGAAUAUACCUUUUAAAACUGGUUACACAAUUGUAAUUUGUCUAUUCGCCUAAGUUUUCCCGCUGCAUGUAAUUUAAAUCAAGCGUGAUCCUCAUGCAUUAGAAUACUUUCAUAUCAAAUUUCACAUUUGUCUUUUUAUGGUAAAAGUGAUGAGCAUUGCGAAAGAAAAAAACAUCUUCAGUUGCGAUCGUAUGACUAUUACUCAGAGAAAAUGCAAUAUGAAAUAAAUGUACAAUAUUUAAUUAGUAGCGGAACUUCGGUUGUUAUAAUACCGGCGUCUAAUAUAGUAAACUCUCCUUUCUCUGAAACUAUAAUAUUUACACUUAGUAACACUAUAAAAUAUAUUUUUGCAGUUGUUGAAUUUGUUUUUUUUUUUUUUAAAGUACCCUAAUCCAAAUAAUUUAGCACGUCGCAAAUUGAUCAAUAAUAAUAUUAUAACUUCAUUUCCGAAAGAUGAGUUGCGGAGAAUAAAAUUACGGCUAAUUUAGAGCUUUACAAUCAUGCCAACAAAUACUGGCCACUUUCUUGUAAAAUUGAUGAUUAAGAUGAUGAACAAUUUAUGCGGUUUGAUGAUUAUUUAACCUUACAAAUAGAAACUUAAAUAAAAAAUAACAAUAUUAUCAGACUAUUUUAAAUAACGGCAAACGCUUUUGCUUUGUUCUUCUAUAUUUGUAUGUUAUUACAUGCGUAUAUGUACAUAUCUAGGUACAUACAGUGGCGCGCAAAACCGUGCGCAUGUCAAAUUUCUAGUCAGUUAAAGUUAGCUUUCAGCACUGUUGUGGCUAUAGGAAAACGACGCAAUGUAGUUGAUUCCCCAAACGUGGAAGGAGGCGCACAAUUGUGAACAAACGCUGAUGCUAGGCGAAUAGUGAGUAGAACCCACAAAAGCGGUUAAUAGAACACCGUUGGAGGCUACAAUCGCUAUAAAUAAAACUAUCAGCGAAUGGACCGCUCGGGGAGCUCUUCAAAUUAUUGAUUCUGUGGCCGCCGUUAAACAGAAGAAAACUGCUGUAUCUGAUCAAAAAAUUAUCAAAGCGCGUCUAAAGAUUCAUAAGGAACAUAAAAAUUGGUACGCAGAAGACUGGCAAAAGGUUAUCUGAUGGGAUGUAACGACAAUCAAAUGUUUCCAAUCGGAUAGUAGACAGUACUACUGGCGUCGUCCACAUGAAAACCUUCAACGACAUCAUGUGCGGCAGACUGUAAAAUAUGGUAUGGGUGAGCAGUCUCAUGGUAUCGGUGUGCUUCACUUUAUGGAACAUUGGGCCGUUAGUCAAAAUCGCUGGAAGUAUGAAAAAAGAAGACAUUUUACAGUCAAAUUUAUCGAAUUUAAUGGACAAGUGUGCCUAUGCAGAUUAAGAUAUCGUUUUUCAACAGAAUAAUCAUCCGAAACACACAACCAAAAUUGUUAAUCACUGGCUAAAAUGUCAACGGUAACAGUUCAACCAAAGGUCAGCACAAAGUCUCGACCUUAACCCAAUUGAGGUUAGAAUUUGAGGGCUAUUGUAAAGAGACGAUUAUGCAAUUACCGAACAGCGCCGAGCAAUACAAAUCGACAGGAGAAGCAUAACGAAGGAAAUAAUAGAAAAUUUAGUUGAAAGUAUGCCUAGAAUUCUAGAAAAUAUAAUUAAAAAUAAAGAUAUUUUUAUCAAAUAUUAAAUAAUGUAAUUAUAAGCCAUUUACUUGUUACGAGCAAAACUGUA